rnacentral:rRNA from 1 species
AGAUGCGAUCAUACCAGCACUAAUGCACCGGAUCCCAUCAGAACUCCCCAGUUAAGUGUGCUUGGGCGAGAGUAGUACUAGGAUGGGUGACCUCCUGGAAAGUCCUCGUGUUGCAUCCC